rnacentral:misc_RNA from 1 species
GAUGAAGAACGUAGCGAAAUGCGAUAAGUAAUGUGAAUUGCAGAAUUCAGUGAAUCAUCGAAUCUUUGAACGCACAUUGCGCCCCCUGGUAUUCCGGGGGGCAUGCCUGUUCGAGCGUCAUUUCACCACUCAAGCCUCGCUUGGUAUUGGGCAACGCGGUCCGCCGCGUGCCUCCAAUCGACCGGCUGGGUCUUCUGUCCCCUAAGCGUUGUGGAAACUAUUCGCUAAAGGGUGUUCGGGAGGCUACGCCGUAAAACAACCCCAUUUCUAAGGUUGACCUCGGAUCAGGUAGGGAUACCCGCUGAACUUAAGCAUAUCAAUAAGCGGAGGA